rnacentral:rRNA from 1 species
GCCUAAUACAUGCAAGUCGAGCGAGAACCGGGACUUCGGUCCCGGGGAGAGCGGCGAACGGGUGCGUAUCACGUGAGCAACCUGCCUCGGAGACCGGAAUAACUCGAGGAAACUCGGGCUAAUGCCGGAUGCCCUCGGUGGACCGCAUGGUCCGGCGAGGAAAUGGAUUCCGCUCCGAGAUGGGCUCGCGGCCUAUCAGCUUGUUGGUGGGGUAACGGCCUACCAAGGCAACGACGGGUAGCUGGUCUGAGAGGACGAUCAGCCACACUGGGACUGAGACACGGCCCAGACUCCUACGGGAGGCAGCAGUAGGGAAUCUUGCGCAAUGGGGGAAACCCUGACGCAGCGACGCCGCGUGCGGGAUGAAGGCCUUCGGGUCGUAAACCGCUUUCAGCAGGGACGAAAUUGACGGUACCUGCAGAAGAAGGCCCGGCCAACUACGUGCCAGCAGCCGCGGUGAUACGUAGGGGUCUAGCGUUGUCCGGAAUUAUUGGGCGUAAAGAGCUCGUAGGCGGUUCGGCAAGUCGGAUGUGAAAUCUCCACGCUUAACGUGGAGGGGCCAUUCUGAAACUGCCGUGACUCGAGUCCGGUAGGGGAGUUCGGAAUUCCCGGUGUAGCGGUGAAAUGCGCAGAUAUCGGGAGGAACACCAGUGGCGAAGGCGGAACUCUGGGCCGGAAC